UACAAUAGAGAGAGAGUUUUCACUACUAUAGACUUUGGUCAUAAUCAAAGCUUUGUUAACCAAUAGGUUUUUAUGUGAGGCUGCCUGUAAGUUACAGUGUAACAGACGUUACUAAGGGUAACGGUGUCUUUUAAAUUCGACAUAAGUUAUGUGGCGAUGAUAUCUAGUUAACGUUGUAUUUAAUGUAGUGUAAUGACCUGACUAGAUCAUAAAGGAACAAUUGUCCAGACAGAGGAUUGAGUUACGAAUUGACGGUUUAUUAGCAACUUUACACAGGCUACUGUUUGGCCUUAGCUCACGCCAAAUAAAUGAAAGAUACCCCACAAGCCAAUCGGGACCUUCUCUUGUGAAGCCCAGACGGAAGAGAGAGAACAAAGGCUGAACCUUAACUUCCAAUGCCCCGCCCCCUCCACGCCACUCCGCCAACCACCAGGAUGCCCGGCAUCAGAACAUCCCAGGCAUUCCUGUGAUUGGCAGAUAGCAGGUUGAUUGGCAUGUCGGACCCCGCGAACACUGGGAACUGGAGGGAGGAGAGUAGAGCAGGACCAAGAGGUGUUCUGUACCUGUCUGUCCAGGAGGGAGGAGAGUAGAGCAGGACCAAGAGGUGUUCUGUACCUGUCUGUCCAGGAGGGAGGAGAGUAGAGCAGGACCAAGAGGUGUUCUCUACCUGUCUGUCCAGGAGGGAGGAGAGUAGAGCAGGACCAAGAGGUGUUCUGUACCUGUCUGUCCAGGAGGGAGGAGAGUAGAGCAGGACCAAGAGGUGUUCUGUACCUGUCUGUCCAGGAGGGAGGAGAGUAGAGCAGGACCAAGAGGUGUUCUGUACCAGUCUGUCCACAAGGGAGGACAAGGCCUGGUGUACCUGGAGAGCAGGGUGGCAGAGUUCUGACUCAAUGAGGUGCAGAGAGGAACCUACUCUCUCUCUCACUCUGUCUGUUCCUCUCCCUCUUUCUCUCCAGAGUUAUCAGUCUCUCUGCCUGCUGGACCUGGAGAGCAGGGUUCUGACUCAAUACUACUGAACCUCUCUCUCUCUGUCUCUCUGUCUCUCUGUCUCUCUCUCUGUCUCUCUGUCUCUCUCUCUCUCUCUCUCUCUGUCUCCAGCGCUCUGCACAGUCAGCAGUGGAGGACAGUGAUCAGAUCUUUACUGAGCUGAUCCGCUCCAUUGAGAGAAGGAGCUCUGAGGUGAAGGAGCUGAUCAGAGCCCAAGAGAAGGCUCAAGUGAGUCAAGCUGAAGGACUCCUGGAGCAACUGAAGCAGGAGAUAGCUGAGCUGAGGAAGAGAAGCACUGAGCUGGAGCAGCUCUCACACACAGAGGAUCACAUCCAUUUCCUCCAGAGGUAUCAGUCUCUCUCCAGUAUCAGUAUAUCUUCAGACUUACCCAGCAUCGUUGUCCGUCCUCUUCAGUCCUUUGGAGAUGUGAGUAAGACUGUGUCUGAACUGAGAGAGAAACUAGAAGACUUCCUUAAAGGAGAAUGGACCAAGAUCUCCACUACAGUGAAUAUAGUGGAUGUUGUACUGCCUCCAGAGCCCAAGACCAGAGAACAGUUGUUACAAUAUUCCUGUCAGCUCACACUGGACCCAAACACAGCACAGACACACCUCUCUCUGUCUGAAGGGAACAGAAAGGUGACACUUACAGGCCAAGUCCAACCAUAUCCUGACCAUCCAGACAGAUUCACCUACUGGUACCAGGUUCUGUGUAGAGAGGGUCUGUCUGGACGCUGUUACUGGGAGGUGGAGAGGACUGGUGUUGUUGUUGUUACAGCAGUCUCAUAUAAAGACAUCAGCAGAACAGGGACAGAUGGUGGAUUUGGAUUCAAUAACAAGUCCUGGAGUUUACAGUGCUCUAGUGGUGAUUAUUGGUUCAGACACAAUAAUGUUGAGACUAAAGUAUCAGGCCCUCAGUCCUCCAGAGUAGGAGUGUACCUGGAUCACAAGGCAGGUACUCUGUCCUUCUACAGUGUCUCUGACACAAUGACCCUCCUCCACAGAGUCCAGACCACAUUCACUCAGCCCCUCUAUCCUGGGUUUAGUCUCUAUCUAGGAGGUACUGCUGAGCUGGUUAAACUGUAGUAGGGUCCACAUAGAUACUAGUCAUGCUGGUGUAGUCUAUAGCUGAGCUGGUUAAACUGUAGUAGGGUCCACAUAGAUACUAGUCAUGCUGGUGUAGUCUAUAGCUGAGCUGGUUAAACUGUAGUAGGGUCCACAUAGAUACUAGUCAUGCUGGUGUAGUCUAUAGCUGAGCUGGUUAAACUGUAGUAGGGUCCACAUAGAUACUAGUCAUGCUGGUGUAGUCUAUAGCUGAGCUGGUUAAACUGUUGUAGGGUCCACAUAGAUACUAGUCAUGCUGGUGUAGUCUAUAGCUGAGCUGGUUAAACUGUAGUAGGGUCCACAUAGAUACUAGUCAUGCUGGUGUAGUCUAUAGCUGAGCUGGUUAAACUAUAGUAGGGUCCACAUAGAUACUAGUCAUGCUGGUGUAGUCUAUAGCUGAGCUGGUUAAACUGUUGUAGGGUCCACAUAGAUACUAGUCAUGCUGGUGUAGUCUAUAGCUGAGCUGGUUAAACUGUAGUAGGGUCCACAUAGAUACUAGUCAUGCUGGUGUAGUCUAUAGCUGAGCUGGUAUAACUGUAGUAGGGUCCACAUAGAUACUAGUCAUGCUGGUGUAGUCUAUAGCUGAGCUGGUUAAACUGUAGUAGGGUCCACAUAGAUACUAGUCAUGCUGGUGUAGUCUAUAGCUGAGCUGGUUAAACUGUAAACUGAUUUGUUAUUAAUUAAAAUUCAAUACAAUGUUUUAAUCUUGUACAUUUCCAUGAAUCAUGAUGUCUGGUGUUGAUGUAUAUUGGUUGUCAUUCAGAACCAUUGAUAUGUUUUCUCAGUUGGUUCUCUGUCUCUAUGUAAUUCUCCUCAGUAUCAUUGAUCAGCUUGUUGGCUCGGUCCUAAUUGAUGUGUUCUCUGUCACCUGGAGCUGCAUGGAAAAUGGUCCAGGAACUAAAGGACAAUUCAGGACUAGUCAGCCCACUACAAGCUGGUAUCACUUACUUUCUACUAAACUAUAUGGUCUGGUUUCCCAGGCACAGAUUAAUCCUAGUCCUGGACUAAACAGUAUGUUCAAUGUAGAUGUCCAGGAAACCGGCCCUAAAUGUGUCAUCUUUCAUCCUCCCAUACUGCUCAGUCCAGCAACAUUAAACCUGUCCAGCAGGUGGUGCUGUUGACCAAACAAUAAAACCAGCAGAUAUCUUGACUUGCCACUCAGUAUAUCAGUAAUGUUCAGAAUAGUACUUUAAUAUCAUUGGAGAUUGAUGGUCUUUUUAAUCCACUAUCCAGAGUCAGGAACAGAUGAAGUUAGGUCUGCUACUGUUCAGUGAUUAAAUAUGAUUUAUGGUGAUGGGAAAUAAUAAAAAACACUCAACUUCAUCUA